ensembl:lncRNA
AAGGAAGCCGUGAUCCGACUCUGACUCUCACUGGAAUGGGGUGAAGGAAGCACACGUUGAAGUUUUGGUGCAAUUAAUUACCAAGAAUGGUGUAUGGCUGAUAGGCCAUGUCAUCAGUUGCAUUUGUCUGCUGUCUUCUGGAAGGACACAAAUGAACCUCUGCAUCAGAGGGCUCUAAUUGGAUACAACUGCGGGUUUUGUUCGGCUUCAAGGUCUGUAUGUUGCAGCUCAGGAAGGCUGCCAAGAUCCCCCAGUUGUUAACAAGAAUGUCAUUCCUUGUAGAUGCGAGACUCCCUUCAGCCUGUGUUUGCUGGAGAAUCUGCAGAUUCAAAGCAUCCCACCAUGAAGACAAUCAGCCUCCAUGGGCUGAACUUCAGAGCACUCAGGCGAGAAGGCCACUCCACCUCUUUCCAUCCCUGGGAGUCUGCACUGCUGAGCCAGAUACCUGCAGCCAGGCAGACUGGAUGCCGUUGUUUCAGUGCUGCCCCAGCUUGCAGCUCCAGGAAGCAGGGACACCAGGGUGAAAGUUAGCUUCUGUACGCAGUUCUGCUUUGGAAAUGAGACCGUCUAUGGGCAGUGGCAGCAUCUCAUGCAUGUGGAUAUAUACCACUGUCCCAACAUCUUUGUCCACCUGGAAGCAGAAUCCAUGGAUUUGGAGAGUCAGAUUCAGAACUCCAGGCUUAGCAACAGAAGCUUUCCUUGAGCAUAAGCUCAUGGAUUAUCAGGCAGAUUUCAGAAUCAAAUUACCAUAACAAGGAAAAAAAAAAAAAGAUAUAGAAUUUGGCACCCGAAUUUAAGUUUGAUUUUAGCUGGGGGCAGAAAUACGUGACAAAAAGCCUUGUGAGUCAUUUAAUAAACCAAGCAUGAGUUUCACAAGCCCCUGCGGUUUCCAUGCUUAUUCUUUGAGACUUUCAUCUUGGCCUGGAGCAGCACUCCUUUGUGACUUUGCAGGGCCCCAGAGCCUGCUCGAGUGCUUAUCCACUCAGAAAUAAAACAAACAUUCUCCCAUCUACAUUAAUUGAAUGUUCAGCUCUCAUUCCUAGCACUUGGCUGUCUACGCUUUAAUGUUUCUCGAGUGCUCUUGACUUUAUCACAGCAUUUGCCCUGUUGAGCUGCUGGUGAGCUCCAAGGGGAACAAAAUCUGCUAAUCCUAUAGACGUGAGUUGAAUGGGAACGCAUCUGGCUACAAAGCAAGGAAGUGCUUUCCUGUGGUGAGGAAGUGCUCAGCUCAGGGCCCAUUGUCUGGCUUUGCAAAGAUGGGCACAGAAAUCUCUUUGGUCGGUUCUUUGCCUCUGUGCUCCAUCCCCUGAUGCUGCACCCUGCCCUCUCUGCUUAGCAGACCCUCUGCAGCAGUCGACAGAGUGCAGACUGCUCUCAUCUCUCCCACCUUAUCUGCCAUUCCUGUGUAGGUUUUACUUCAAUCCUCCCUUCCUGCUUUUCCCCUCAACCCUUUCUCUCCUCCUCCCUCUUUCUGUGGAAACAAAUGUACAGUAGGUGUCUCUUGAACUUGCCUGAACUCCUUGUCCCAAGCACCUUCCUGACUAAUCCUUUCCAGAUGUCCAGGAACUUUUAUGUUUAGCAGCUCUGCUCGAGUUCCUCAUUCAUUCUCAGAUGGAGCAAACCUUCUAUUUCCUAAAAUUAUUUGAAAAAUAGGGCUGAUCUUGGCCUUCUGUGAAACAACCUCAAAGUAUGGCAUUAUGAGCACCACUGCAGCCCCCUGCACCCAAACUGGAGCACGGUAAGCAUUCGUAAGUAGCACUGUGAGCUUGGUUUUCCACAUAUGAGUGCUCCAUGGCUUUCUAUGAAGUUCUGAAAGCACUCACUACUGCACUUGCACCCAACCAAGGGGCAGGGCUGUC